CCAGACCUCAUACCCCUUCUCUUCUGCCUUUCUUGCACGCAGCCUCCGCCGCCUCAGCGUCCGCCCCUCUCUCUCUCUCUCGCCGCGUCCGCCUCCAGCACUUCUCCUUCCCUUUCCUCUCUCUAGGCCGAGCUCCGGCCCUGCGUCGCCCCCUCCUCCUUGACCGUCUCGUUCCUUGGAGAAAGAGCACGGGACCGUCGAUGAGCCUGAGCCGCCACAAGGAUUUCGGGUGGAGGGGAUCCGGUGCGGACGCGCACGUCUCGGCCUGUAGCCGGAGCGGCAGGUGUCGGUGGCGGGGAUGGUCGACGGGGAGAAGGCCCCACCCCUGAUGGGUUGAGGAUGAUGACUACGACUUCAGGAUCUUGACCUUACAAGACCUGCAGCCCCAAGGAAUCCUCCAAGACCUCAGUUUGAAACAUCUACAAAGGAGGUUUUAAGGAAAGCCGAUUUUAGGGUGAGUAAAUCUGCUUGGUAACAAAUGUAAACUGGCUACUGUUUUUCUGUAAAAUGAAAUGGUAGAUUUGAUAGUACUUUGGCUGCUUGUAUACUCUAGAACUGUUAGCCAGUGUAGAGUUCAGGGAUACAAUGCCUAUGGUAAGCCCCAAAUGCCCCUUCUUUCGUGAUUAAAUUGGUGCUAACUUUUCCAAAUAUCUAGUGAGACUACCCUAAGCUUGUGAGGAUUCUAGCAUUUUCUAUUGAUGCUUGACCUUGACCAACGCACGACAGAGAACGCGCUGGUAUAUAGCAAGGGCACUGCCAGCCUAACCCCCGUUGUAGCUGAGGUAAACAAUGCCUCCUAUCCUUACAGUUGUAGUUUUGAUUCGAUGAGCACUGGUUUGUGCGGUUCCUGCGGCUAGGGUUUGAUUUCAAGAUGGAAAGUGUUGAUUUCCUGCGAGUGCCAUAUACAUGUAUUGUUUAUUCGGCAUUGAAAGUUAAAGAAAACACUUGUUUGAUUGGUUCAUUGCAGCUUGACAAUUGUUGAGAUUUGUUAAUUCAGUUAGAAAGCUUUAGUUUGAGUCUGCACCACAAUUCCUAACAAUUCAUUGAAGGUCUUACUUUGUUUUAUCCUUUUCGGUUGCUUCAUCUUCAGUGAGUUCCAAGAUAUAUUUGAUAACUAUUAAUAGAUGUAGAUGUUGCAGGUGCUUAUGCCAGGUGCUUAAGGAAAAAAGACUAGCAUUGCAUCGCUAAUAAACGUGGUCUCGCAAUGGGGAGGUGCUAAUCAGAGGUGCCUCAGUUGGUUUGACGUAGGCACCGGGUGAAGCACCCGUGACUUUUCGGGAGCGGUUAUUUCUUCGAAGCACCGGCUGGCACUGGAAGUAAAUGUUUGCUUCUCCCCCCCUUUCUAAGCACCCAUGCAGUCCAAUCUUGAAAAAAAAACGGUUUUUUUUUCUCUGGCACCUGUCUAAGCACCUGCCGUUGUACAGGGCCUUAGUAUCCAGUGCUUUCAUUUCCACACCGGUACUGAAUUAUUCUAUACUAAAUUUAGGAUUUAUUUUUCAGUUACACCAUGUAUUUGUUUUUUCACUUCCUACCGUUGCUGAACUCUUUUGCUUGGCCAUGAGAAGGGCAGUGGGUGAAAAUGUUGGCUUAGAAAUUUAGAACAUCAAAGAAGUGGUCGGGGGUCUGGUCGUGUUAGGUAAACACUGUACAGAGUCAGUCUGGCACUCCUGUACAUCAAGAAUUAGCUGAACCUUUCAGCAGUAGCACAUUUCUGUAUAUGAAUUUGUGUUCGCAUAUGUUGAUCCUCUUUUAAUAUUGUAGGACCUGCCAAAUUUAGUUGCAAGUAAAGAUGCAGAUUUUUCAUAUAUAGAUGCUGUUUUUUGUUGCUUGCCACAUGUAACAACACAUGUUCGUAGCUUCAUCAUGCUUUUUCUGAGUUUCUUUUCUAUCAAUUGCUGAACUUAUGAAGGAAUCCAGUUAUAUGCUCUGCUCUCAAUUGGAAGAUAAGAUUUCGUAUCGAACACACUUAGAGCAAUGUCUGAUUGCAAGUUUUUUAUCAGGAAAUUAUUAAAGGCUUAUCCCAACAACUGGAGAUUGUUGGUCCCUUUGCGGUAUGCUCUACACAAACACAUGCUUUACCUAUGUUGGUAUCACUUUGGUUGCUAUUAAACAACCAAUCUUUCAGACUUACCAUGCUCGUAGGAUUUUUGAUUGCGUGGCAUCAAUGAGUAUGCUGAGUGGUAUGGCCAUGCUCAUAGGGCACCGAAACUUCAGCUGUUCUUGACUACUAUACCCUACAGACUUGUUAAUAUACCAGCCAUUGGUUACACAAAUUUUGAAGUUACUCAGUUCUGAAGAUCCAGUUUCGGUGUUUGAUUACCAACUUGGAUUCCUAUUGAGAUGUUACACUGGAACAUCUGCAUCUUUACAUUACCUUUGGAGCUUGGAUUAGAUUCCAGUGUAGCCUAUGAUGUCUUUUACUCCUCUUGUAUCAUUAUGUUUGUUUAUUGUGAACUCAUAAGAGGCUAUAUAUGGUUUGACGGACGUUCUUGGAGAUGAAAUAAGAGAUGUGCGGCUUGUUGCCAACCCCCGCGUCUAUUCAGCACCCUCUUGUUCCUCUAAUUAAGGUGAAAAUCAAUAAAACUUAUUAGUCUUCCCAGAUCAAAGCAACAAGUGUUUAGACUCAAUAGCCCUCACUUGUGAACCAUCUGUUUUGUUUUUGUAAUAUCCUUUUUUUAUCCAAUAAGAGGUUGUUAUUCAUGUUAUUAUUAUUUAUUCACCUGCAUUGGAUGGUUAUGCAGUAAGACAGUAACAUGCUUCUGUGAGCAAACAUUGAUGUUACAACAGUGCAUGUAAAUAUCAUUUCUUUUAUUUAAAAUUCCACACCCAAUUCAUAUGAGAGUAUCUUGAGAAGAUCAGUUCUGCCACUGCUGCUGUUGUAGACAGAAUUGGAUGAGCUCUUCCUUUAGUUGCUGCUACUUUUAGCCCUCAUUUCCUUGAGAACAUGUUCAAAGUAUAGAUAAGAAAAUUACGUGGCUAUAGAAGGAUAUAUUUCAUUCAAUAGAACACCAAAGAAAAAUAACUUUGAAAUCUAUAUAUUUUAUUGACUGUGCACCUCUUCCAUCUACCAAAUAACUUCUGUGAGGUCAUCCUGAUCAGAAGUUUAUACAACUUCCCUUCUUUGAAGCUUCUUUUCAUUCCCUUGCUCUCCUCUCUUAUAUGAAUACCUGUUAGGCCGUAAUAUUACCAUGUGCUAAGAUUUUUUUCCUCUGUGUUGGAUUUGGUUACAAGAUCAAGGGAUAGAAAAAAUGAAUAUCGGUGUGCUGCACAACAAUGGAACCUUUUCUUUUUUUUAGUGUGACUAUUCUGUAUUUUGUUUGCUUCGUCCAACAACGGCGUUGACUGGACAAGCCAAUGAAGGAAGGUAGGUUAUCCCUUUGUGUUUACAUUCUUAUGUCUCUCCAGAUGCUCUAUUCUCAAUCAAUUGAAUGAUUAUGUUAGUCCUGCAGUUGUAAUCAAUCCCCGGGAAAAAAGCAACUAGAGCAAUCAAUAAUGCGGGACUACGUCUGCUUCAUGCUCUACAGGGUGUCGGAUGGCUGUCCUAAGCAGAGGGUCGGUGUUGUGAACAUAUAGGCAGGAGGCGCCAUGACGCAGGCCUUUAAUUUGCACGAGCUGAAGCUGCGAACACCUUCAUAUCCUGAUCAUCUGAAAAUCUUUCUUAGUUGCUAUAGUACUCUAUUUCAUGAGGUACUUUUAAUUUUAUCCGAACUUCUAUAAAUGGUUGGUGGUUGGUUCAUUUAUCCACCCAUUAGGUCCUCUCACAUUUUUUUUCUUCUGAAUUUUUUUAAAAAGUGUUCGUAGUAUGUAUGUUGUCCAUCUUAUUGUUUCUCCCAAAUGUUUAUUAGAACUCAAGUUGUUUUCGCUUACCGUGUCGUAAUCUGGUGUUGGAUAGGUUCCAUUAUUGAUUGAUUUUCAGCACCAAUCUGCAAAGAACCAAUUGGUGGCCACAUCUGAGUCCUUCGCCGUGGCAUGGACAAGACGCCCUGCCGGAGCAGGGUGUGGAUGAGUCGGUGGCUCCGGUCACGCACACCGGCUGGUACUGCUCUGGCGAGCCACCGCUGCCCUUGCCCGUCUCGAUAUCGCUUGGCAUCUACUUUAGGUGAGGGUGCUGGACGUAGAGAAGGGGAGAAAAAACUGUGGACGCUCUUGCUAGAGCUGUAAUUAUGCACAUCCGAAAAGCAGCUAAGCUGCAGUUUGUCUGUACUGUGCUACAGACGAGAUUCAUUUGCAUUGCCUGUCAUGCAUUUCUCUUUACUUUUCA